UAGGGAAUAUUAGUAAUGGGCGAAAGCCUGAACUAGCAACGCCGCGUGUGCGAAGAAGGCCUUCGGGUUGUAAAGCACUUUUUGAGAGGAUGAGGAAGGACGGUACUCUCAGAAUAAGUCUCGGCUAACUACGUGCCAGCAGCCGCGGUAACACGUAGGAGGCGAACGUUAUCCGGAUUUACUGGGCGUAAAGCGCGUGUAGGUGGUUUGGUAAGUAGGGCGUGAAAGCUCCUGGCUCAACUGGGAGAGGCCGUUCUAAACUGCCGAACUAGAGGAUGGUAGAGGGAGGUGGAAUUCCGGGUGUAGCGGUGGAAUGCGCAGAUAUCCGGAGGAACACCAGUGGCGAAAGCGGCCUCCUGGACCAUUCCUGACACUCAGA
rnacentral:rRNA from 1 species